AAAUGAAUAGACGGGGACCCGCACAAGCGGUGGAUGAUGUGGAUUAAUUCGAUGCAACGCGAAAAACCUUACCUACCCUUGACAUGUCACUAACGAAGUAGAGAUACAUUAGGUGCCCGUAAGGGAAAGUGAACACAGGUGCUGCAUGGCUGUCGUCAGCUCGUGUCGUGAGAUGUUGGGUUAAGUCCCGCAACGAGCGCAACCCUUGUCUUUAGUUGCUACGCAAGAGCACUCUAAAGAGACUGCCGGUGACAAACCGGAGGAAGGUGGGGAUGACGUCAAGUCCUCAUGGCCCUUAUGGGUAGGGCUUCACACGUCAUACAAUGGUGCAUACAGAGGGUUGCCAACCCGCGAGGGGGAGCUAAUCUCAGAAAAUGCAUCGUAGUCCGGAUCGUAGUCUGCAACUCGACUACGUGAAGCUGGAAUCGCUAGUAAUCGCGGAUCAGAAUGUCGCGGUGAAUACGUUCCCGGGUCUUGUACACACCGCCCGU
rnacentral:rRNA from 1 species